rnacentral:lncRNA from 1 species
AUGCCCUUUAAGCUCAGUCCAGAUGGGAGCUGGCUCCUUCAGCAAGGGGGCUCCGAGCAGGGUGUGGGGAGCUACCUCUCUCUGCCUCCCCCCACCACAUCUGCCUACAGGGCUGGGAGCCCCCACGAGCCAGUGGUCCUGAGCCUUCUGAAGUUAGUAUUCUGCCUGGCAGUGGGGAUCCUGACACCGAGGAUGGGACACCCAGGAUGGAGGUUCCUGGGGCCUGGCCCCCAACACUAUGAAGAGCCCUUGCUGAGGCCAUGAGGGGUUACCAUGGCGACCGAGGCAGCCAUCCCCGCCCAGCCCGCUUUGCUGACCAGCAGCAUAUGGAUGUGGGCCCAGCUGCCAGGGCCCCGUACCUGCUGGGCUCCGGGGAGGCCUUCUCCACCGAGCCCCGCUUCUGUGCCCCGAGAGCAGGCCUGGGACACCUUUCUCCCGAAGGGCCCCUGAGCCUGAGUGAGGGGCCAUCAGUAGGCCCCGAGGGAGGGCCAGGGGGGGCCGGAGUUGGGGGGGGUAGCAGCACCUUCCCCAGGAUGUACCCUGGCCAGGGCCCUUUUGACACCUGUGAAGACUGUGUGGGCCACCCACAGGGCAAGGGUGCCCCCCGCCUGCCUCCUACACUCCUGGACCAGUUUGAAAAGCAGUUGCCAGUUCAACAGGAUGGCUUCCACACGCUACCAUACCAGCGAGGUCCAGCAGGGGCCGGGCCAGGACCAGGGCCGGGGUCUGGCACUGCCCCGGAGGCCCGCAGUGAGAGCCCCAGCCGCAUCCGGCACCUGGUUCACUCUGUGCAGAAGCUCUUUGCCAAGUCCCACUCUCUGGAGGCCCCAGGGAAGAGGGACUAUAAUGGGCCCAAGGCCGAGGGAAGAGGUGGCUCUGGGGGAGACAGCUUCCCUGGCCCGGGCUCUGGAGGCCCUCACACCUCCCACCACCACCAUCACCACCACCACCACCACCACCACCAGUCCCGGCACGGCAAGAGGAGCAAGAGCAAGGACCGCAAGGGGGACGGGCGGCACCAGGCCAAGGCCGCGGGCUGGUGGAGCUCCGACGACAACUUGGACAGUGAUAGCGGCUUCCUGGCGGGUGGCCGGCCCCCGGGGGAGCCUGGUGGUCCCUUCUGCCUGGAGGCUCCAGAUGGGUCCUACCGGGACUUGAGCUUCAAGGGGCGCUCGGGCGGGUCAGAAGGCCGCUGUCUUGCCUGCACUGGCAUGUCCAUGUCACUGGAUGGACAAUCAGUCAAGCGAAGUGCCUGGCAUACCAUGAUGGUCAGCCAAGGCCGGGAUGGAUACCCAGGGGCUGGGCCAGGCAAGGGGCUCCUGGGUCCAGAGACCAAGACCAAAGCCAGGACUUAUCAUUAUCUGCAGGUGCCGCAAGAUGACUGGGGGGGUUACCCCACUGGGGGCAAGGAUGGGGAGAUCCCCUGCCGCAGGAUGCGCAGCGGCAGCUACAUCAAAGCCAUGGGGGACGAGGAGAGCGGAGACUCAGAUGGCAGCCCCAAGACAUCUCCCAAAGCUGUCGCCCGGCGCUUCACCUCCCGCCGCUCCUCCAGCGUGGACCAGGCCCGGAUCAACUGCUGUGUCCCACCCCGGAUCCACCCACGGAGCUCCAUUCCUGGCUACACCCGUUCCCUCACUACCGGACAGCUCAGCGAGGAGCUGAACCAGCAGCUGGAGGCCGUGUGCGGGUCCGUGUUUGGGGAGCUUGAGUCCCAGGCUGUGGACGCCCUGGACCUGCCCGGCUGUUUCCGCAUGCGGAGCCACAGCUACCUCCGGGCCAUCCAGGCCGGCUGCUCUCAAGACGACGACUGCCUGCCCCUCCUUGCUGCCCCUGCCUCUGUCUCAGGGAGGCCCGGCUCCUCCUUCAACUUCAGAAAGGCCCCGCCCCCCAUCCCUCCGGGAAGCCAGGCCCCGCCCCGCAUCUCCAUCACCGCCCAGAGCAGCACCGACUCCGCCCACGAGAGCUUCACCGCGGCCGAGGGCCCCGCCCGGCGCUGCAGCUCCGCCGACGGGCUGGACGGCCCCGCCAUGGGCGCGCGCACCCUGGAGUUGGCGCCGGUGCCCCCCCGGGCCAGCCCCAAGCCCCCCACACUCAUCAUCAAGACCAUUCCUGGCAGGGAGGAGCUGCGGAGCCUGGCGCGGCAGCGGAAGUGGCGGCCGUCCAUUGGGGUGCAGGUGGAGACUAUCUCGGACUCGGACACGGAGAACAGGAGUCGAAGAGAGUUCCACUCCAUCGGCGUACAGGUGGAAGAGGACAAGAGGCGGGCGAGGUUCAAGCGCUCCAACAGUGUGACAGCCGGCGUGCAGGCAGACCUGGAGCUGGAGGGCCUGGCCGGUCUGGCCACAGUGGCCACAGAAGACAAGGCUCUGCAGUUUGGACGCUCUUUCCAGAGGCACGCCUCUGAGCCCCAGCCCGGGCCCCGGGCCCCCACCUACUCAGUCUUCCGCACGGUCCACACGCAAGGCCAGUGGGCCUACCGCGAGGGCUACCCACUGCCGUAUGAGCCGCCGGCCACCGAUGGGUCGCCCGGCCCUGCCCCGGCCUCCACCCCCGGCCCUGGGGCCGGCCGCCGUGACUCCUGGAUGGAGCGGGGCUCACGUAGCCUCCCCGACUCAGGCCGCACGUCCCCCUGCCCACGGGACGGCGAGUGGUUCAUCAAGAUGCUAAGGGCGGAGGUGGAGAAGCUGGAGCACUGGUGCCAGCAGAUGGAGCGCGAGGCGGAGGACUAUGAGCUGCCCGAGGAGAUCCUGGAGAAGAUCCGCAGUGCCGUGGGCAGCACACAACUUCUCCUGUCCCAGAAGGUUCAGCAGUUUUUCCGGCUGUGUCAGCAAAGCAUGGACCCCACUGCGUUCCCUGUGCCCACCUUCCAGGACCUGGCGGGUUUCUGGGACCUCCUGCAGCUCUCUAUCGAGGAUGUGACCCUCAAGUUCCUGGAGCUACAGCAACUCAAGGCCAACAGCUGGAAACUCCUGGAACCUAAGGAGGAGAAGAAGGUCCCUCCGCCGAUACCAAAGAAGCCGUCGCGGGGCCGGGGCGUGCCGGUGAAGGAGCGCUCCCUGGACUCGGUGGACCGGCAGCGGCAGGAAGCGCGCAAGCGGCUCCUGGCGGCCAAGCGCGCCGCCUCCUUCCGCCACAGCUCGGCCACCGAGAGCGCCGACAGCAUCGAGAUCUACAUCCCCGAGGCCCAGACCAGGCUGUGACCG